rnacentral:rRNA from 1 species
GUCUUUCAAGUCCGAUGCUAAAGACUGGGGCUCAACCCCAGGGGUGCGUUGGAUACUGUGAGGCUAGACGGUCGGAGGGGGUAGCGGAAUUUCCGGAGUAGCGGUGAAAUGCGCAGAUACCGGAAGGAACGCCAAUAGCGAAGGCAGCUACCUGGACGACUUGUGACGCUGAGGCGCGAAAGCGUGGGGAGCAAACCGGAUUAGAUACCCGGGUAGUCCACGCCGUAAACCAUGAGUGCUGGGUGUUCGGCUUCUGUUGGGUGCCGUAGCUAACGCGCUAAGCACUCCGCCUGGGAAGUACGCACGCAAGUGUGAAACUCAAAGGAAUUGACGGGGGCCCGCACAAGCGGUGGAGCAUGUGGUUUAAUUCGAAGCGACGCGAAGAACCUUACCAGGCCUUGACAUGCCCGGAACCCCUCUGAAAGGAGGGGGUGCCCGCAAGGGAGCCGGGACACAGGUGCUGCAUGGCCGUCGUCAGCUCGUGUCGUGAGAUGUUGGGUUAAGUCCCGCAACGAGCGCAACCCCUAUCCCUAGUUGCCAGCAGUUCGGCUGGGCACUCUAUGGAGACUGCCUGCGAAAGCAGGAGGAAGGCGGGGAUGACGUCUGGUCCGCAUGGCCCUUACGGCCUGGGCGACACACGUGCUACAAUGCCAAGGACAGAGCGCUGCUACCUCGCGAGAGGACGCCAAUCGCAAAAACCUUGGCUCAGUUCGGAUUGGAGUCUGCAACUCGAC